rnacentral:rRNA from 1 species
UACGGAAGGCAGCAGUGGGGAAUAUUGCACAAUGGGCGCAAGCCUGAUGCAGCCAUGCCGCGUGUAUGAAGAAGGCCUUCGGGUUGUAAAGUACUUUCAGUCGUGAGGAAGGUGUUAAGGUUAAUAACCUUAGCAAUUGACGUUAGCGACAGAAGAAGCACCGGCUAACUCCGUGCCAGCAGCCGCGGUAAUACGGAGGGUGCGAGCGUUAAUCGGAAUUACUGGGCGUAAAGGGCACGCAGGCGGUUAAUUAAGUUGGAUGUGAAAUCCCCGGGCUUAACCUGGGAAUGGCAUUCAAGACUGGUUAGCUAGAGUCUUGUAGAGGGGGUAGAAUUCCGAUGUGUAGCGGUGAAAUGCGUAGAGAUGUGGAGGAAUACCGGUGGGCGAAGGCGGCCCCUGGGACAAAGGACUGACGCUCAUGUGCGAAAGCGUGGGGAGCGAAACAGGGAUUAGAUACC